rnacentral:rRNA from 1 species
GCAUAUCAAUAAGCGGAGGAAAAAGAAACCAACCGGGAUUGCCUCAGUAACGGCGAGUGAAGCGGCAAGAGCUCAAAUUUGAAAGCUGGCCCCUCCGGGGUCCGCAUUGUAAUUUGCAGAGGAUGCUUCGGGCUCAGCCCCCGUCUAAGUGCCCUGGAACGGGCCGUCGGAGAGGGUGAGAAUCCCGUCUGGGACGGGGUGCCUGGGUCCAUGUGAAGCUCCUUCGACGAGUCGAGUUGUUUGGGAAUGCAGCUCUAAAUGGGUGGUAAAUUUCAUCUAAAGCUAAAUACUGGCCGGAGACCGAUAGCGCACAAGUAGAGUGAUCGAAAGAUGAAAAGCACUUUGAAAAGAGAGUUAAACAGCACGUGAAAUUGUUGAAAGGGAAGCGCUUGCGAUCAGACUCGCCUGCGGGGUUCAGCCGGCAUUCGUGCCGGUGUACUUCCCCGUGGGCGGGCCAGCGUCGGUUCGGGUGGCCGGUCAAAGGCCCCGGGAAUGUGUCGCCCUCCGGGGCGUCUUAUAGCCCGGGGUGCCAUGCGGCCUACCUGGACCGAGGAACGCGCUUCGGCUCGGACGCUGGCGUAAUGGUCGUAAGCGACCCGUCUUGAAACACGGACCAAGGAGUCUAACAUCUACGCGAGUGUUUGGGUGGCAAACCCAUACGCGCAGUGAAAGCGAACGGAGGUGGGAACCCUUCGGGGCGCACCAUCGACCGAUCCUGAUGUCUUCGGAUGGAUUUGAGUAAGAGCGUAGCUGUGGGGACCCGAAAGAUGGUGAACUAUGCCUGAAUAGGGCGAAGCCAGAGGAAACUCUGGUGGAGGCUCGCAGCGGUUCUGACGUGCAAAUCGAUCGUCAAAUUUGGGUAUAGGGGCGAAAGACUAAUCGAACCAUCUGGUAGCUGGUUCCUGCCGAAGUU